UUGUACGCUGGCGGAAUGCUUUACACAUGCAAGUCGAGCGGCAGCGCGGGGGCAACCUUGGCGGCGAGCGGCGAACGGGUGAGUAACAUAUCGGAACGUACCCAGACGUGGGGGACAACUAGUCGAAAGACUAGCUAAUACCGCAUACGUCCUGAGGGAGAAAGCGGGGGAUCGCAAGACCUCGCGCGUUUGGAGCGGCCGAUAUCUGAUUAGCUAGAUGGUGGGGUAAAGGCUCACCAUGGCGACGAUCAGUAGCUGGUCUGAGAGGAUGAUCAGCCACACUGGAACUGAGACACGGUCCAGACUCCUACGGGAGGCAGCAGUGGGGAAUUUUGGACAAUGGGGGCAACCCUGAUCCAGCCAUUCCGCGUGAGUGAAGAAGGCCUUCGGGUUGUAAAGCUCUUUCAGCCGGAACGAAACGGUACGCUCUAACAUAGCGUGCUAAUGACGGUACCGGCAGAAGAAGCACCGGCUAACUACGU
rnacentral:rRNA from 1 species